rnacentral:tRNA from 1 species
UGCCCCUCUAGCUCAACGGCAGAGCAGCGUCCUUUUAAGUCGUGGGUUCAGGGUUCGAAUCCCUGGGGAGCAC